CAUUUAGUUGACAAGCAACUCACAGCCCAGUUUGCUAAAUAUUGAUGAUCUGCCUCAAAGUUUAUUACUGCCAAACUGUUACUUACUUUCCUUAAAGUGCUGAACACUUGUGCUGCACAAUGAAGCUCUUGUACCAUCACAGCAGGGCAUUAGAUUUAUUUUUUACAUGAAAUCCUAACAUCAGUCACAUUUCAUGUGUUCACCAUUUUUUGUCUGUUGUCUAGAGAGCAUGCUGCAUUCGUGGGCUAAUGGGAGUUUCCAACGUCUAGGAGCUCCAGCUUGAUCAAAAGCUUUUCAGUCUUCACUAUUUUCUCUCUAAGUCAAACCCAGACUGACAGAAACCACAACAGAGGCUUGGCAAGUUGAAGGAAGGACCAACUGAUAACUUAGGAACGCUGCUGAGACACUGACAAAUCCAUUUGAUUGCAGAGUAAAGGUUGAGUUAUGCUAGAAACGAGCAUUCGUAAGAUGGCUAAAGGGUUCCUAGCAGGUCUGAACGACUGCACUAGAAGACGAAGCCCAUCACCAAAGAGUGUGGCAGGACAUGAAAUCCUUUAAACAUUUCCAGUCUUCCCUUACUGUGGCUUUUUUCUCAUCUCCACCCCCCUUUCCAAUCAAUGCAGAAGUGGAUGUAAAUGAACCGACGAUUUUCCUAGUUACAGAAAUGGUCAGAUGAAAACCUCCCGACCCUGAUGACAGACAGGUUUAAACAGACGUCCCAAGGUGGCAAAUCUGCUCCGCCGGCGGAUGGGAGGCGUGUGUGUGCCGGGUACCAGUGAAUCAGAGCGCAUGGCUGCCAACCUCUCCACUUCCUCAGCUAGAAAACAGUCACAACAACAAGGCUGUUAGCAAGCAG